AUUGGAACCAUUGAUGUCACAAGAAGACUCCGAAUGUCUGAUUCCAUGAAAAUGUCGACUUUAAUAUCAAGGUUUGAGCCUUCGCGGAGUUGGGUAAAGCCUAAAAGCACUCACGGCAAAAGCGGGGCAGCUAGGCGUGUACCUGACCUAGUGUUUGAUACUGAAAACUACCCGUAUUUAAGGUAUAGUCCUUCAGUCAAUGGUGUUUUUGUGCAACUUGUUUUGUCUUUAAUUCAUCUGAAAACACUCUCGUUGCUAAGCCCCUUGUAGACUGGAGCAAUGUGUCUAGUAUUAUAGGGAUGCAUAAAAAAUCACCUGAUCACAGUAAUGCAAUGACUAAAGCUGACAAAUUCAUGAAAAUAUGUCAAAAUCAAGAAAAAAGUGUUGUUGAGUUUGGCUCGAACGCUUACAGAAACAAAGUCGAGAAAAAUAAGAAAGCCUUGACAUCUAUUGUUAAAACAAUAGUUUUGCUGGGAAAAUAAAACAUAGCCUUUCGUGGCAAAACAGCAGAAAAAGUAACUUCAGAGCUUUGAUAAAUUAUCGCGCUGAAGUAGACAGUGAUUUGCACGACCAUCUAGCAAAUUCUCCCAAACAUGCACAGUAUUUAAGCCCCUCUAUUCAAAACGAAUUCAUACAUAUAUGCGGCAAUCAGAUUUCGGACUCUAUCGUGUACCGUUGCCAAGAUGCGAGGUACUUUUCUAUUCUUGCAGAUGAAUCUGCUGAUGUCAGCAAUACAGAACAGUUUGCUUUUUGUCUGCGUUAUAUUGAACGUCAGAGUUCCGGGAAGCAUGUGCUCCACGAGGAUUUUCUUUCAUUUGUUCAGACAACAGAAACAACAGGUGAAACACUACACCAGUUGCUACAAGAUGAAAUACACAAACACAACCUGAACCCAAACUUUAUCGUCUGACAAGGUUACGACGGUGCUGGGAACAUGUCCGGUUGUCACCGUGGAGUGCAGGCAAGAUUUUCUGCAGAAUUUCCAAACGCAAAGUAUAUUCACUGUCGCAACCACCGUCUAAACUUAGCAAUAUGUCAUGCUUGCAGGGUAGCGUUUGUGCAGUCGAUGUUUACCGUUGUUGGGGAUGUAUUGUUUUUUAAUCACAAUUUCUCCGAAACGUCUCGGAGUUUAUAGCUCUCAUAACGAUGACGGAGAAGCCUUAAAGAAGUUCUGCCCAACACGGUGGUCUCAGCACUCGGAAAGCAUCACUGCUUUCUAUACCCACUUCAAGUCAAUUCUAGAAACACUUACUGACCUUCAAUAUUUAUUGCCAACAAAACUUCGGCAACUUUCGCCCGAAAUGUUGGCCGAUAUCAAGUAGGAGUAUUCUCCGUUCAUAGAUUGCCAGGCAAUAGAUACUGAACUUGAUGUCUGGAAGAGAGUUGCAGCAGAUUCGCCCAUACAAGGCUUGGCAGAGGCAGUUGAUGAAACAUAUCAACUAUACCCAAACAUACAUGUUGUGCUGAAGAUCCUCCUGACAAUGCCAGUGUCAACGGCCUCUGCUGAAAGAUCAUUUAGUAGCCUUCGCCGCCUUAAAACUUAUCUAAGAAAUACGAUGACCGAGGAACGGCUGACUGGACUCGCUCUGAUGCAUAUCCAUCGCAAUCACCAGAUCGAUAUCGAUAAGGUUAUACGUGAUUUCGAUGUGUCUGGGCAUCGACGAAUCGCACUGGUUUUUGAUAAUUGAGGCAAUAACAAAAUCAGAAGCAUGUAGAGAAAGCAAAGAAAAAUACUUCUGUCUACAUAAAACCGUAUAAAAUUGAAUAAAAAUACAAAACUAAUAAAAAUACACACACAAAAAAAAUAAAAACAACACUAAAAAAAAACAAAAAAAAA